rnacentral:rRNA from 1 species
UGAAGGAACGUUAAAGACGAUGACGUUGAUAGGCCGGGUGUGUAAGCGCAGCGAUGCGUUGAGCUAACCGGUACUAAUGAACCGUGAGGCUUAACCUUACAACGCCGAAGCUGUU